GUGAGGGCUGCUGAGGGAUCUGUUCCACCUAAGGCUUGUGAGAAUAGGAUCCAAUAGGCUUAAAACAAUCUCUGGGCCCCAGUAAUUGGCUUAGUGGGGGCCAAUGAAAAUGAAGUAUGCAAAUUUUGUGUAAAUUGGGGGCAUGGUGGUGCACACCUGUAAUCCCAGCUGUUGUGGAGAAUGAGGCAGGGGGAACAAAGCUCAAGGCCAGCCUGGGCUGGAGAGACCCCGCCACAAAAUAAAAUUUUUAAAAGGGCCCGGGGUGUAACUCAGGGGUGGAGUACUCUCCUCGUAUGCACAAGGAAACAAAAACAAACCGAAACGCAGCCUGAGGACUAAGCCAAUAAUAUCACAGACCAAGAGAGAUGCUGAGAGACCAGGUUGGUACUGAGUCACGUUGGCACAGCCAGCUCCGGACGAAGACAGAUGGGGCCUACGCGACCAGACAACCCGGGCUAUUACUCAGCAUUUCCAACCAGACGAUGACCGAAGAACAGAGAGGGCUGAAAGGCCAGGGGCAGGUCCUAGGGUAGAGGGGGAUGGUAGGGAGAGGCUUCACUGGGAGACAGCGUAGUUAGGGUGGUGAUGAUGGAGACAUGAUGGUAAUGAAGUGCUGAUGGUGGUGACGAUGGUAUUGACAGUAAUGAAGAUGGCGGUGAUGGGGUGAUGGUUGGUAAUGAUGGUAGUGGUAGUUUGGUGUUGGUGAUGGGUCUGAAAUAUUACUUGAUCACUGACUAUCAGCAGGCUCUGCAUAUGUUCUCCUGGGCAUUAUCCCCAUAAUUCUUAAUAUUUUCUUCUUGAAUUCACUAAAGAAAACCAUGUUAGUCAGAAAUGGUGAACGAUUAUUAUCAUUUUAUUGGUGAAUAGAGCUAUUUAUAAUUCAGCAAUUACCAGAAGUUUGCCUUUUAGAUGCCAUCUUACCGUAAUUCACGAUAACCCUACAAGGACUUUCUUUCAUCACCCCCCUUCCUUUAUGGAUGAGGAAACUGAGAACACACUCCCAUCUGGCAAAAAGUGCCAACUCUCAUGGGUAGGACAUACUUCUGCAUCCACCUCUCCCCCUCCAUUCCACCCUUCGGAGGCCAGGGCCCACUGGCAUAUGGACAUCUGGGCCUCUAAAGAGCAUCAGCAAGCUGCCUGAGGACUGUGGGAGUUGCCCACACCCCAGAACCCCAACACAGAAACAGGUGAAGGGCAAGGGAGCAAGUCAGUGCUCAGCUAAAGAGCUCAGGUUUUAUCCCAAAGGCAGCAGGGAGCCACAGUGUCGUGUUUCUGGCUGACUCUGGGUGACCUUGCACAAGUUUCUUGGCCUCUCUGGGCCUCAGUUUCCUCAUCUGCAAAACAGUGGACUCUUGAGUUACAACCAUCCUGACAUACGAACAACUUGCAUUACGACUGGCAUUUUAGUUUUAACUUAAAACCAAAGUUGAGUUUUAACCCAAAUGCCGGCCACAUGUGCUUCCAGAUGAUCUCAGAUACAGACUUAAUCCCUAAAGAGUUCUGGAAGGAACAUUACAACAUCCUUUCCUGUGCGGGGUUAACUGAGAAAUCCUGGGCCAAUGUCUCUCUAAGGACACCCAUAUCUGCCUGGAAGAAAGUGUGGCCUAAAAUUAUACAGGAGAGAGACUUUGAAGGCAAUUGACCAACAUGAGUUGCAACCAGCCCUCAGGAAUUAAUUGAAUUCGUAAAUCGGGGCCCACUGUAGUAACAGCACUUCCCUCAGCGAGGGAUGUGGAGGAUUAAAUGAACCAGCACACCUGGCAGAGGCACUAGGAGCCCUCAUGAUAUCCACCUGCUUCCUCAUUGUCCAGCUUGGCACCUGCCCUGGCACAUUGGCCAGAACUGGUUCUGGCCAAGAGCUAUGAGCACAAAUAAUAUGGGUGAUGCUCGAAGGGAAGUACUGCAAAUCAGAGUGCGUGUGCUGCCGGGGUGGCCUCACAGAGCGGAUGUGAACGUGAACUAUGCCCUGAGACUACUGUGGAAUUCGUAGGCAAGGGCAACAGCCCUUGGUGGAGCCAUGUUCAGGUGAACUUGUUACUGCAGCACAGCGAAGCCUGUCCAGACCAAUCCAACAGCUGUCAGAGCCAUCGAUCAUUGUUGCUCAAGAGCUUGAAGCAGGUGGGGCCUUAAGGGGGACAGUUAGUCCACAGAGGGGCAGGGGCUCAAUGUGGGUGGCUCUGACCAAGGACUCCUCCUGGAGGUAGUAUUGGGCCAGGUGGAGAGAUCAGGCUGGGAAAGACACUCUCUUGGGAACACACACUCGCUGCACGCCACAGGAGUCUCCAGGGUUGCACAGAGCCUGUGUCACUGGCGUUGCUGUGGACAGUUCUCCAGCAUGACACACGAGGUCUCCGGGGAGCCCUGGCAGCAUAGAGUUUGUGGGCACAGUUCUCCAUGUGCGCCUGUCCUGACUGCAGGCUCUAUCGGGUCCAUGACGAGUACCCAGCAAGCCACAGAAGGCCGGUAUCAGGCUGCAUCCUCCGAGGGGGGGAUGUGGGAGCUGGGCUCAGGGGCAAGGGCUACAUGCUAUGGGGGCCACUGAGGUCGUCCUGAGUCUCCAGGCAAAAGUGUCUGCCCCGGCCACAGAUCUUCACGUAGAUUUCAGGAACUGGCAUCCAGAGCACAUGGACC
ensembl:lncRNA